rnacentral:misc_RNA from 1 species
AACGCACCUUGCGCCCUUUGGUAUUCCGAAGGGCAUGCCUGUUUGAGUGUCAUUAAAUUAUCAACCUUGCUUUUGCUUUUACCGGCUUAGCUUGGCUUGGAUGUGGGGGGUUUUUUGCUGGCUUCCCUCAGUGGAUGGUCUGCUCCCCUUAAACGCAUUAGUGGGAUCUCUUGUGGACCGUCACUUGGUGUGAUAAUUAUCUCUACCACCUGGCUUUGAAGCAAAACUUAUGGGAACCCGCUCAUAACCGUCCUCGGACAACUUUUGACAUCUUGACCUCAAAUCAGGUAGGACUACCCGCUGAACUUAA